UACGUAGGGGGCAAGCGUUGUUCGGAAUUACUGGGCGUAAAGGGCGCGUAGGCGGCACGGCAAGUCGGGAGUGAAAGCCCGGGGCUCAACCCCGGAACUGCUCACGAAACUGCCGAGCUAGAGUGCGGAAGAGGCAACUGGAAUUCCCAGUGUAGCCGGUGAAAUGCGUAGAUAUUGGGAAGAACACCGGAGGCGAAGGCGGGUUGCUGGGCCGACACUGACGCUGAGGCGCGAAAGCCAGGGGAGCGAACGGG
rnacentral:rRNA from 1 species